rnacentral:rRNA from 1 species
AUUGAACGCUGGCGGCAGGCCUAACACAUGCAAGUCGAGCGGAUGAGUGGAGCUUGCUCCAUGAUUCAGCGGCGGACGGGUGAGUAAUGCCUAGGAAUCUGCCUGGUAGUGGGGGACAACGUUUCGAAAGGAACGCUAAUACCGCAUACGUCCUACGGGAGAAAGCAGGGGACCUUCGGGCCUUGCGCUAUCAGAUGAGCCUAGGUCGGAUUAGCUAGUAGGUGAGGUAAUGGCUCACCUAGGCGACGAUCCGUAACUGGUCUGAGAGGAUGAUCAGUCACACUGGAACUGAGACACGGUCCAUACUCCUACGGGAGGCAGCAGUGGGGAAUAUUGGACAAUGGGCGAAAGCCUGAUCCAGCCAUGCCGCGUGUGUGAAGAAGGUCUUCGGAUUGUAAAGCACUUUAAGUUGGGAGGAAGGGCAGUAAGUUAAUACCUUGCUGCUUUGACGUUACCAACAGAAUAAGCACCGGCUAACUUCGUGCCAGCAGCCGCAGUAAAAC